GACGAACGCUGGCGGCGUGCUUAACACAUGCAAGUCGAACGGAAAGGCCCUGCUUUUGUGGGGUGCUCGAGUGGCGAACGGGUGAGUAACACGUGAGUAACCUGCCCUUGACUUUGGGAUAACUUCAGGAAACUGGGGCUAAUACCGGAUAGGAGCUCCUGCUGCAUGGUGGGGGUUGGAAAGUUUCGGCGGUUGGGGAUGGACUCGCGGCUUAUCAGCUUGUUGGUGGGGUAGUGGCUUACCAAGGCUUUGACGGGUAGCCGGCCUGAGCGGGUGACCGGCCACAUUGGGACUGAGAUACGGCCCGGACUCCUACGGGAGGCAGCAGUGGGGAAUAUUGCACAAUGGGCGGAGGCCUAAUGCAGCAACGCCGCGUGCGGGAUGACGGCCUUCGGGUUGUAAACCGCUUUCGCCUGUGACGAAGCGUGAGUGACGGUAAUGGGUAAAGAAGCACCGGCUAACUACGUG
rnacentral:rRNA from 1 species